GAUGAACGCUGACAGAAUGCUUAACACAUGCAAGUCAACUUGAACUUCGGUUUGGGUGGCGGACGGGUGAGUAACGCGUAAAGAACUUGCCUCACAGAUAGGGACAACAUUUGGAAACGAAUGCUAAUACCUGAUAUUAUGAUUAUAUGGCAUCGUAUAAUUAUGAAAGCUAUAUGCGCUGUGAGAGAGCUUUGCGUCCCAUUAGCUAGUUGGAGAGGUAACGGCUCACCAAGGCGAUGAUGGGUAGCCGGCCUGAGAGGGUGAUCGGCCACAAGGGGACUGAGACACGGACCUUACUCCUACGGGAGGCAACAGUGGGGAAUAUUGGACAAUGGACCAAGAGUCUGAUCCAGCAAUUAUGUGUGCACGAUGAAGUUUUUCGGAAUGUAAAGUGCUUUCAGUUGGGAAGAAAAAAAUGACGGUACCAACAGAAGAAGUGACGGCUAAAUACGUG
rnacentral:rRNA from 1 species